rnacentral:rRNA from 1 species
AUGGAUUAGUGGCGAACGGGUGAGGAACACGCGAGAAACCUGCCUUUCAUUCUGGGAUAACACCGGGAAACCGGCGCUAAUACCGGAUACUCCAUCUUGGCGGCAUCGCCGAGCUGGGAAAAAAUUUUGAUGAAAGAUGGUCUCGCGGCCUAUCAGCUAGUUGGUGAGGUAAAGGCUCACCAAGGCGACGACGGGUAGCCGGCCUGAGAGGGCGACCGGCCACACUGGGACUGAGACACGGCCCAGACUCC